UAAUACAGAGGCCUCAAGCGUUGUUCGGAUUUAUUGGGCGUAAAGGGUGCGUAGGCGGUACCGAAAGUUAGGUGUGAAAGUUCGAGGCUCAACCUCGAAAUUGCACCUAAUACUCCGGUGCUUGAGUCUCAUAGAGGAAUCUGGAAUUCACGGUGUAGCAGUGAAAUGCGUAGAUAUCGUGAAGAAGGCCUGUGGCGAAAGCAAGAUUCUGGGUGACGACUGACGCUGAGGCACGAAAGCCAGGGGAGCAAACGGGAUUAGAUACCCCGGUAGUCCUGGCAGUAAACGGUGUGCGUUUGGUGUGGGCAGCUCGACACUGUCCGCGCCGAAGCUAACGCAUUAAACGCACCGCCUGGGUAGUACGAUCGCAAGAUUA
rnacentral:rRNA from 1 species